CCAUGGUCUGGACUACCCAUUAGAGUCUCGAAGGAAUCGAUGGCAGUGUUUCACGCAGCGGCUAGAGCUGUGGUUGGCAAUGGGAAGGAAACAUUGUUCUGGGAGGAUCGUUGGCUGCAGGGAUUUCGCAUCUAUGAGCUUGCACCGUUGGUGUAUGGCAGGGUUCCCAAACGGGUAAGGCUGGUGCGCACAGUCUCGGCAGCCAUGGAGGAUGCAUCAUGGGCAGGAGACAUUGGGCCCGACAUCACUGAGGCCGAGCUGCAGCAGUUUCUGCUCCUCUGGUCGCGAGUAGAGAAUGUGCAACUGGAUAUGGGCACGACGGACUUUGUUGCCUGGGCAUGGGAAAAGGAAGGCAUGUUCUCGGCGCGCUCGGCGUACGUGGCAAGGUUUGCGGGACUUGAGGUGGCGCCUACGGCUGCAUUCACAUGGGGAUCGAGAGCACCUCUGACUUGCCGAUUCUUUGUGUGGCUUGCUCUCGAGAAUCGGUGCUGGACUUCUAACAGACUCGCCAAGCGUGGACUACCUCAUCAGGAUGCGUGCCCUUUUUGCGAUCAACAAGAGGAAACUAUGGAUCAUCUCAUGGUGCAUUGUGCCUUCUCAAAGGAAGUGUGGCAUUGGAUGAGCGUGGCCACUAAUCAUCCGGAGCUGGAGCCUCGCGAUGACGACAAUCUCGGCUCAUGGUGCUUAAGGCAAGAGCAGCGACGAGACCAACGGCGGACCAUGAGAGCCUUGUGCUUACUGGGCAUGUGGGUGAUAUGGACGCACAGAAACGAUAUCGUUUUUAACGGUGCAAGCCCCUCCACAGUGCAAGUGCUCGGACGGAUUGAGAGGGAAGGAAGGGCAUGGAGGCAAGCAGGGCUUUUGAAAGGGGACUUGGAUGGAGUGUUU
rnacentral:rRNA from 1 species